rnacentral:rRNA from 1 species
AUUGAACGCUGGCGGCAGGCCUAACACAUGCAAGUCGAGCGGAUGAAGGGAGCUUGCUCCUGGAUUCAGCGGCGGACGGGUGAGUAAUGCCUAGGAAUCUGCCUGGUAGUGGGGGAUAACGUCCGGAAACGGGCGCUAAUACCGCAUACGUCCUGAGGGAGAAAGUGGGUGAUCUUCGGACCUCACGCUAUCAGAUGAGCCUAGGUCGGAUUAGCUAGUUGGUGGGGUAAAGGCCUACCAAGGCGACGAUCCGUAACUGGUCUGAGAGGAUGAUCAGUCACACUGGAACUGAGACACGGUCCAGACUCCUACGGGAGGCAGCAGUGGGGAAUAUUGGACCAUGGGCGAAAGCCUGACCCAGCAAUGCCGCGUGUGUGAAGAAGGUCUUCGGAUUGUAAAGCACUUUAAGUUGGGAGGAAGGGCAGUAAGUUAAUACCUUGCUGUUUUGACGUUACCAACAGAAUAAGCACCGACUAACUUCGUG